CAAAUGGAAGAUUUUCCCCCCGAAGCCAUUUUGCUGGAAACAGGAAAAGGAACAUUCCAGUGCGGCAAUCCCUAAAAUCCCUUGAGAGCACCGCAAAGUGUGCCGUGCCAACCUUGGGUGGGAUCCGAUGGGAUUUUUGGAUGCGACGCUCAGGCGCUUUUUAACAUCCAAACUGAAGAGACUCCAACCCAGUAAGCUGCUCGUGAUUUUUACCACAUCGAUACUUCUAGUCACUUCCACGGGUAACCUCAGCCUUGGAACAAACAGGGGCCACGUCGCCUUUUAGGAAUCCAAAGUAGUAUCUUCCUCGGAGCUCCAGUAAAGGAUGAUUAUGAUCCAUCCGAGAUUUUCUUUAAAGAUUUUUACCACAUUAUUCCAUCCCAUGCUGAGCUGCAGAAGGAGCUGGGACAGAUUCAACUCUGGAAUGUUCUCUGCCACAAAUCACAGCUGCUCCCAGGGACCUCCACUGCCAGCGCCCCCUCCCCAGGACUUCCCUACAACAACAUUCCAGCUGCAGGACCCUGCCAGGACAGUGCCAAUCAAGAGUGGAAAGAAGUGCCCAGAAAUGUUGGAGACGCGACAGAAAAGCGAUCUGAAAGCAGGUGUUCCCAAACAUCCCCCAGGAGCUUGUGUUGAGGCGUAUCGACCAACCCAGGGAAAAACAAAUGGGAUAGAAGGUCAUUUGUUGAAACCUUGGUCGUGAAUCCCGCGGGACAAUGCCACAUUGUCAGGCUGCCCCCCUCGGAACAUCUCCCCACCGAUAACACCGGUAUGUGUGUGGCUUGGAGAAGUUCCAGCAGCAACACGGAAAACAACCCUGGCGUGCCAGAGCUUUCGGCGAGCUCUGUCUUGCAAAGUCCGCCGUGCCUAGGUGAGUCAGAAAGCUCUAUGGCUUAGGUUUUUUUUUUUUUUUUCUCCCCCAUCCUCGGGAUUGUGUCGCUUAACCGUUGUUACUUUAAGGCACUAAGUCUUGGGGCGUUUCGCCACACGGCCAUAAAUAAUUAAUAUAAUUCCCAAAGGGGCCACGCGAGAGAUCCAAGAUGUCAAAGCCAAAGGAUUAGCUUUCUGAUUAAAGCCCAUACCGGUCUGGGGGGCCAACAAGACUUUGCCUGGAUGCAAUCGGUCCCCAUCCAUUUGAUUUCUGCCCCCAGGCGUCCCAGCGCCCUGGCCUUCUGUUUAGUUCCCAACUCUCUCCCUCCCAAGGACUUUCAUACUUUACGAGCCGCCCAGGACACUCCGACCCAGGGUUGCACCAGGGCGAAUCCGAUUGGCUGUCUAGCACUCAGCUCCAAAGACACUUCAGGGAUGUUUUCGGCGGCUACCAGUUCUAAGGAAGCCUCUCGUGUCUCCACCACCCGCGGCUGCCCUGUCCUUCUGCGUAACACCACUCGCAGCCCUUGCAACCUUCUGAACUGAUUUAUUCCUGUGUUGACUUGGUCCUUGUAUUUCCCCGUGGGAAUCAAGCGUCAUAAAAGCACCCGGUUUGUUUGUUUCCCUCUGUGUCCCUGGAAGACAAAAACGUGCGUGCUGCAUAAGGUGUGCAACAAUUAUUUGUAAAGAAACGAAUGGGAAUUGGGGAGAAGGGAGGAAGGGGGAGGGAGGGAAGGAAGGAAAGAAGGAAGGAAGGAGGGAGAGAGAGAGGCAGGAAGGGAGAAGGAGAAGGAAGGAAGGUUUAGAAGGAAAGACCUAGGUCUUUGAGAUCU
rnacentral:lncRNA from 1 species